GUGGGGGGCUGGGUCGGAGCUCGUGGCCGAGGCGAAGAGAUCUCUGUACUGGCGAGUAGAGGUUCACCAGCGUCGGAAGCGACCCCUGGACGCUCCUUUUUCUUUUCCCCUUUUCUUCCCCCGUCUGCUCAGGGUGACUUUUCUGGAUUAAUCAUUUUGGUCACAAUUGGGAAGAAACUGAGAAAACUUUCCUUCCAUCUUCGGACUGAAAUUAAGGCUCAACUUCUAUUUCACCUCUGACUUUGGACUUGAUCUUAGAAUGAUUUGAGAGGCCUGGGGAGACUUACGUGAAUUGACGCUAACUGAAGUGAAUAGAACCAAGAGAAUAUUAUACGCGGCAACAAGAAGAUUACACCAUGAUCAACUCUGAAGGGCGUGGCUCUUUCCAACAGCGAGGUGAUUCAGGCCAGUUCCAGUGGUCUGGUGAUGGAGAGAACCAUCUGCACCCAGGGAGAGGCCUGUGGGGACUGAAUGUGGAUCACAACUUUGUGUUUUCACUUUUUGUUAUUGUCGUUGUUUGCUUGCAUUUUGUUUUCUUUCUCAUUUUUUUCCCCAUUUUGAUCUGACUUUUCAUGUGCAGUAUGAUAAUUAUGGAAACAUGUAUAGAAGAACUGCACAUGUUUAACAUGUAUUGUAUUACUUGCUGUCUGGGGGUGGGAGUGGGAGGAAGGGAGGGAGAAAAAAUUUGAAACAAAAUUUUGAAGGGUGCAUGUUGAAAAAAAAUAUAUGCAUGUGUUUCGAAAAUUAAAAGCUGUAUAAAAAGUAGCUAAAAAAAACCUAUCCUCUUGGAUAUCUCAAAUAAAUGGGGUACUAUCAUACAUUACUCUUUGAGGUCUUCUCCUAUAAUAAAUAAAUACCCUGUCUUUGUAAUUGUUAUCCAAGAUGAUAUUUAAUAAUUUCUUUCCUAUUUUCUUCUUUGUCUAGUAACAUGAACAUAUAUUAUAUAUUGUUAUCUGAAGUGAUAUUUAUUACUUUCUUAUCCUCUUUGUCUAGUAACUGUUUAUUGUCUUUGUUAUUUGAGAUGAUACUUAUUAAUUUCUCUCCUAUUUUCCUCUUUGUCUAGUAAUGUGUGUACGUAUAUGUGUAUGUGUGUAUUUUUUUUUUUUUUAACAAAACCAUGGUAUGGUGGUAAGAACACUUGCCUGAAAGUUAGAAUACCUGGAUUUCUAGUUCGGCUUCCUGUCUGCAUCACACUUAGCAAAUCACUUUAAUGCUCUGAGCUUCAGCAUCCUCAUCCCUAAAAUAAGGGAAUUGGAUAAGAUGAUCACUUUAGAUUCCUUCUAGCUCUAAAACUAUGGUCCUUUGAUUUAACUUAGGCCUGAAUUUAGAGCUGCCCCUUAAAAUCUUAAACCUUACUUUAAAGGACUUUUUGAUGUUUCAUCCCCUUGUGACACCUGGUGGUUUUCAGCUAUCACUACAACAGUAGGAAGUCAGCUUAGAGGGCUAACUUUCACAAUAAAGGAGAUAGGGCUAAGGGUGUGUGUUGGGGGUGUUGCUUUAAGCUGAAGGGUAAAAGGUAGGAGCUACUGUCAGACAGCAAAGCAGGAAAGGCAUGGUGAGAAGCUCCUGCCAUAUCUUUAAUUGAAUUGAAGGUUAUAUAGUACUCGUUAAUUUAUUGGAAUUCAAAAGCCAAAAUCACUCUGGUGUGCAAAAGGGAUGAAGUGGAGUUUUAAAAAGCACUUGACUGCGCUCUAUUAUAGCCAUGGUAAAGAGUAAUGGAGUAAGUGGGGAAUUGUUUCAUUAGCUGACAGUUUGGGUAAAGGGGAGGAAACAAAAGGUAACUAUAAAAGACACCCUUACCAUCUGGAAAGUAAUGAGCCAUUAGCUGAGUCUACUAGAUGGCUGGGUUUGCAGCUCACAGAAGGAGAUGACCUCAUUUGGGCCUCUACCCUUUAUUCUUGGAUGGCUUUUCCUUGGGUCCUGCAGGGAUUCAUUGAUGAUCUUUUUAUGUUGGUUUUUUCCCCCUACUUUCUGGUGAUGGAGGUUUCAUAGUGCUUCAGUGUGUCAAGAUACUAGACAGCCAAUUGGGUGUCCUGAAAAUACGCAUGGUAGCAUUGUGAAGGCCAGCUGCUGUGUCAAGGCUUAAACCUGUAGUCUUAUGUACAACAUGGUGAAUUCAGUGUUUAUAUUAGCAGCCUUUGGAUAGGUAGACUGUGUUGAAGAUUGUCAUUUUCUUUUUAUCCUUUUCCUCUUCCUUUCCUGAAGGUAUAGGCUGUUAUUUGACAGUAUUUUCAUGUUGGCCAUAUUGACCCAAGUAAUCAUUGGACCAAAGUGAAUCUAAAUGCCACCAUGUGGUUUAAAGAAAUUGUUUUGUAGAGUUGUACAUUUGUAGUUGGAAAGAAACUUAGAAUCUUAGAAGCAGUCUAACCCAAUUCCCUUACUUGAUUGCAAAAGAAAUUGAAGCCCAUGAGAGCUGAAGUUACUUUCCCAAAAGUAACCCAGUUAAUGCAUGGCAUAGUCAGAAUUAAAACUCAUUGCCCCAACUCAAAAACAAAUUUCUUGAAGAUAAAGGAUUUAUUUUGUCUUAAAUAUGCCCUUGUCAUUUGAAUUAUGGCUUCUGUCUGACUCUUAAUUAUAAUAAUUUGUCAUUUGUCAUAAUUGUGCUUAUGUCCAUUCUUACCUGUUUGGACUUGGAGACUAGCAAGAAGUCCCAAUUUUCAGAAGGUUGUUGGAUAUUUAUACUUCUGCUCUUGGAAUCUGGAAGCAAAACUGACUCACACAAAUAGAAGUAAGAAAAAGGAUUUCUAACACUAUGGGUACAAUGGCAGUAGUCUUCACAGUACUGUAUUUGUUUUGAGGAAGUUGUCAUAUCUCAGUAAUAACUUUCCCUAUGAGAAGAUAAGAUAGGCUAGUUCAUGUCAGCAACCUUGAGCCUUUGCAGAAAAGAAAAUCACAGAAUUUGAGCACCAGAAAGGACCUCUGGGGCUGUGUAGUCCUAUAUUGUGCUAAACUCUGAAGAUACAAAGAAAUUCUAGGGGGUGUCAGGAUGGCAGAAUGAAGCCAGGAAGCCGUUUGGCAAGGGGGAGGAAAAGAAAGAAAACAGGUUCAGUUUUGGAUAUAUUGAGACAGCUGAAGGAUGAGCCUAAAGAUUAGGCGUGAGAUUAUAGCUGGAUUAGUAGAACUGAACAUCAUUAGCAUAGAGUUGAUAAUUGAAACCAUGGUAGUUAAUGAGAUUUAGUCUAUUAGCUCUCCCUUACAACUUCUGUCAUCUACAAAUGUGGGGAAUAUUCCAUAUCUGCCUUUUUAUAUGGGUUAUUGAUAAAAAAUGUUGAACAUUGUGCCAAUUGAGACCUUGUGUUAAAGUGACAUUGAACCAUUAAUGAAUAUUCUUGUAGCCUGGUCACUCAAUCAUAGCCAUUUCUAUGUGUACCCUGCUCCAUUUCCCUCCCUCAGGAAUUGAACCCUUGCCUGUAACAAAGAUAAAAAAGUUAGCAAAAAACCAAAUAUGGCCCUUUCUGAUGAUGAAUGCAGCAUGUUGUCUUCAUGGGUCUCCAUUUUUCUACUAAAAGAAAAGAAGUGUGUUUCAUUAUUUGUUCUGAAAUAACAAGAUUGAAUAUUAUAAUUGCUCCAAGUUUGGUUUUUUUUUUUUUUUUAACAUUCUUUCAAUUUCCAUUAUUAGAGGCACUGUGUACUUUGCCUUUGAGUUCGGUUUUCAUACUGCAUCAGUUUAUACAUGUCUUCCCAUGUUUCUCUGAAUUCCUCAAAUUUGUUAUUUCUUAUGGCAUAAUAAUAUUCAAUUGUAUUCAAAUGCCAUGAUUUAAAAACACAGUUUCCCAUUUGAUAAUCACCCACUUUAUGUCCAGGUUUUUGCUAUUGAAAAAAAAGAAAAGGAAAAGGAAACAAAGAAAAAGAAACAAUUAUAAAUAUUUUGGUAUAUAUAAAACUUUCUGUCUUUGGCAUCCUAAAGAAAUAACAUCAGUUAUUAGGAUCACUGGAGACUCUGUUUUUAAUGUUGAAUAAAAGUGACUUUUUAGUUGUGGUUUGUAAUUUAUAUAUCUUUGGUCCUCCACUAUUCAAUAUUAACAUAGUUGAUAAAAAGAAAACAAUGUGUCAAAGAUUCUCUUUUUAAGUCUCUUCUGCUGUUACUCUUUCUCAUCAUCAAUGAAUAAAUAAAUCUUCAAACAA